rnacentral:rRNA from 1 species
GGAAACGAAAGAUAAUACCGCAUGUAGAUCUUAUUAUCACAUGAGAAAAGAUCAAAAGAACCGUUUGGUUCACUAUGAGAUGGGGAUGCGGCGUAUUAGCUAGUAGGUGAGAUAAUAGCCCACCUAGGCGAUGAUACGUAGCCGAACUGAGAGGUUGAUCGGCCACAUUGGGACUGAGAUACGGCCCAGACUCCUACGGGAGGCAGCAGUAGGGAAUUUUUCACAAUGGACGAAAGUCUGAUGAAGCAAUGCCGCGUGAGUGAUGACGGCCUUCGGGUUGUAAAGCUCUGUUGUAAGGGAAGAAAAAAUAGAGUAGGAAAUGACUUUAUCUUGACAGUACCUUACCAGAAAGCCACGG